GACGAACGCUGGCGGCGUGCCUAAUACAUGCAAGUAGAACGCAGUUUCGAACGGGUGAGUAACGCGUAGGUAACUGCCUCAUAGCGGGGGAUAACUAUUGGAAACGAUAGCUAAUACCGCAUACUGUUAGAUGGACCUGCGUUGUAUUGAAUAGUUGGUGAGGUAAAGGCUCACCAAGGCGGCGAUACAUAGCCGACCUGAGAGGGUGAGGGGCCAGACUGAGAGUGAGACACGGCCCAGACUCAUUGGGGAGGCAGCAGUAAGGAAUCUGAGGCAAGGGACGGAAGUCGUACCGAGCAACGCCGCGGGAGUGGAGAAGGUUUUCGGAUCGUAAAGCUAUGUUGUUAGAGAAGCGGUAACUAACCAGAAAGGAACGGCUAACUACGUGCCAGACGCCGCGGUAAUUC
rnacentral:rRNA from 1 species